rnacentral:rRNA from 1 species
GACGAACGCUGGCGGCGUGCCUAAUACAUGCAAGUUGAGCGAUGAAGAUUGGUGCUUGCACCAAUUUGAAGAGCAGCGAACGGGUGAGUAACGCGUGGGGAAUCUGCCUUUGAGCGGGGGACAACAUUUGGAAACGAAUGCUAAUACCGCAUAACAACUUUAAACAUAAGUUUUAAGUUUGAAAGAUGCAAUUGCAUCACUCAAAGAUGAUCCCGCGUUGUAUUAGCUAGUUGGUGAGGUAAAGGCUCACCAAGGCGAUGAUACAUAGCCGACCUGAGAGGGUGAUCGGCCAACUUGGGACUGAGACACGGCCCAAACUCCUACGGGAGGCAGCAGUAGGGAAUCUUCGGCAAUGGACGAAAGUCUGACCGAGCAACGCCGCGUGAGUGAAGAAGGUUUUCGGAUCGUAAAACUCUGUUGGUAGAGAAGAACGUUGGUGAGAGUGGAAAGCUCAUCAAGUGACGGUAACUACCCAGAAAGGGACGGCUAACUACGUG